ACACACAGUCGCCAUCUUCGA
rnacentral:miRNA from 1 species